UACAGAGGGUGCGAGCGUUAAUCGGAAUUACUGGGCGUAAAGCGCACGUAGGUGGCGACGUAAGUCGGGUGUGAAAGCCCCGGGCUCAACCUGGGAAUUGCAUUCGAGACUGCAUUGCUGGAGUACGGAAGAGGAGGGCGGAAUUCCCGGUGUAGCGGUGAAAUGCGUAGAUAUCGGGAGGAACAUCAGUGGCGAAGGCGGCCCUCUGGUCCAGUACUGACACUCAAGUGCGAAAGCGUGGGGAGCAAACAGG
rnacentral:rRNA from 3 species